GACGAACGCUGGCGGCGUGCUUAACACAUGCAAGUCGAACGGUGAAGGUGGAGCUUGCUCCGCCGGAUCAGUGGCGAACGGGUGAGUAACACGUGGGCAACCUGCCCCUCACUUCGGGAUAACUCCGGGAAACCGGGGCUAAUACCGGAUACGACCUCCUUGGGCAUCCUUGGAGGUGGAAAGUUUUUCGGUGAGGGAUGGGCCCGCGGCCUAUCAGCUUGUUGGUGAGGUAGUGGCUCACCAAGGCGACGACGGGUAGCCGGCCUGAGAGGGCGACCGGCCGAACUGGGACUGAGACACGGCCCAGACUCCUACGGGAGGCAGCAGUGGGGAAUAUUGCGCAAUGGGCGAAAGCCUGACGCAGCAACGCCGCGUGCGGGAUGAAGGCCUUCGGGUUGUAAACCGCUUUCAGCAGGGAAGAAGCCGCAAGGUGACGGUACCUGCAGAAGAAGCACCGGCUAACUACGUGCCAGCCGCCGCAGUAA
rnacentral:rRNA from 1 species